AAUAGUAUCUGUAAAUAAGCUAAUUGCGGGUAUUAGCCAGGGAUUGUUCUACAAAAAAUAGGACACGCAGCAGCAUGAGAGUGUGACACGUACCCCUAUAUUCCACCGCCUGUACUCCCUUUCUUCUUUCCUUUUCUUAAUGUCAUCACUUUUGAAACCUCAAGUCUCGGUCUCUCCUACCUCUCGUUCUCUCCCCAACUGAGUGUUCUUUUCCUCCUCCCUGCCUUUUUCAUUCCUGCAGCUGUGUGAUUAAUUGGGGGAGAGUGAAAUUAGGGUUUGUCCGUCUUCACUCAAUCAAAGGAUUUGGACGAGGCGUAUACGACCGAAGACGUUCAGAAAGUCAAACGGUGUUCCAAAGCGAAUGAGGAACGAAUCGAGUAAGUGAAGCAGUGUGGCGAAUAAAGUAUAGCCAGAGAUGGUCUAGAUACUAUGAUAUGCAUAGGUUGUGAGUUGGAAAGAUGAGAUUAAGCUGUGUGUGGAAGCGGAUUUAAGAAAAGCUUAGAGAUGAAUUGCUUGAUUGAGAUUGCGAGUAUGGCUAAGGCUAAGCGAGGAGUCAGAGUUAUAGAAUAUCCAGAGGACAAGUGGAAUGUCCAGGGAGAUUGUCAAGGUUGGUUCUAGAUAGAAUUGUAUUGAUGAGAUUCAGUUGUAAGUCAUAAUUGGAAUAGAUUGACAGUGAUUCUUCUUAUCGAAGAUGAUCUGAGAUUGUAAGAUAUUGUUUAUUGAUAGUGGUUGAUUCUGAUUUCAA